CAAAAGUGCAUCAGUCAAAACCCUUCCGCUACUCUUUCUCCAUUCAUUUCCUUCCCCUUAUUUUUCUCCAUUCUCUUAAUCUAAACAAAAAACCUAAAUCUCGGCUAUGAAUCCCGCAUAGUUGCCAAAAUCUAAGGUGCUUUUCUAUUCCGGUUUGUUUCGUCUUCGAUUUGGUAGAUCCACAAGUGUUUUCAUCGGGAAUUCUGUUUAAAGCGCGAGUUCCAUGAUUUCAUCGGCAAAUCCAGUCGUCACGUGGCACGGCGCAGCCGCAGCGGCUAUUGCGGGACGGGGGAGCCCCGUGGCGAUGGGGAGGGCGCCGAGUGAGUGGCGAGGACGGGGCGGUCAUGCGGCGGUCAAAAACAUUGAUUUUUUUUAAUUUCUUAAUUUAUUUUGUGAUGAUGUGGCGGAAGAGUUUUUGGUGGCUGUGCUGACUGGACUGACAAGUUUUUGUGGCUGUGGCGUAGCUGUUCCGCCUCUAUUGUGGGCACUCUAUGAGUUUUGAUUGGUUUAUGUUAUGCGUUCAUACAUAAUUUGUGGCAUGAGUAUUGAUACAUAAUAGAAAGAAAUUUGGUAUAACAAGAGUCAAAUGAAUGUAUAAUUAAUAAUUAGAAUAACUAUAAGAAUAUCUUAUCUUGCUUCA